rnacentral:lncRNA from 1 species
ACUGCAGCAGCGCGCGCCCGUGACCCUCGCCGUCCACCCUGCGUUUUCUGCCUGGAAACAUCGCGAACUAAUCGGUGAAACGCUGGAUUCCGGGGGCUGGAGCCGGUGUGCGAAAUGGCCUCGAAUCAUAGCACCAAUAUGGCUGCUCUUGACCAGAGACAGAGGGAUACAGGAAAUCUGCCAAGCCAAGGUGAAGUAUCUUCAUCCAGUGUCCAAACUGAACCCGGUACUACUGAUCCCCAGGACCGACUGGAUCCUCACCCUGACCUGCCCCAAUGCCAAAUGGGCACCAGAAAGGUAGACGACAUGCGCUUCAUGAUAUCCUGCACUAACUGGUACUGAAGAUGUUGCAGAAGAGAAAAGACAUUUGGACAAUUUCCCUUCGAGUGAGUGCCAAAUUUAGUGCGGGACGCUGGCGAAGUGGAGAUGUUGCAGUUUCAAUGCUGCUUAAAUGGGUUUGGUGUUGUUUAUGCAUUUAAAGCAAUAGUUUUGCCAUAAUUUACUCACUCUCAAGCCAUCCUCUACAUUUAUAAAUUUAGCAAAAAAUCAUCAGACAGUUGUUGUAUAUAAAUGCUACGACAAGUCUUACAAAGUCUAUGAGUAAAUUGUUUUUUCUUUUUUCCACAGUGUAUAUGACUUUCUUCUGUCAGACAAACUGUGUCAGAGUAGUUGUAAAUGUUAUCCUGGCUCUUCCAUGCUGUAUAAUGGUGUUGGAUAGCUUUCAAAGGUGCAUAAAUCCAUUGUAAAACUAUCCCAUAUGUUGUUAUUGGGUUAAUACAUGUUUUAUGAAGCAGAUCAAUUUGUUUUUGUAAGAAAAACAUUUCAAUUGCAUUUUGCUCUACGCCACUGAUUAUCAUAUGUAUAUAUUAGUACGGUGUAAUGUC